rnacentral:tRNA from 2 species
GCCGGAAUGAUGGAAUGGCAGACAUGGACGCCUCAAAAGCGUCUGCUCGACAGAGCGUGCGGGUUCGAAUCCCGCUUCCGGCA